CUAAUACAUGCAAGUCGAACGAACUCUGGUAUUGAUUGGUGCUUGCAUCAUGAUUUACAUUUGAGUGAGUGGCGAACUGGUGAGUAACACGUGGGAAACCUGCCCAGAAGCGGGGGAUAACACCUGGAAACAGAUGCUAAUACCGCAUAACAACUUGGACCGCAUGGUCCGAGCUUGAAAGAUGGCUUCGGCUAUCACUUCUGGAUGGUCCCGCGGCGUAUUAGCUAGAUGGUGAGGUAACGGCUCACCAUGGCAAUGAUACGUAGCCGACCUGAGAGGGUAAUCGGCCACAUUGGGACUGAGACACGGCCCAAACUCCUACGGGAGGCAGCAGUAGGGAAUCUUCCACAAUGGACGAAAGUCUGAUGGAGCAACGCCGCGUGAGUGAAGAAGGGUUUCGGCUCGUAAAACUCUGUUGUUAAAGAAGAACAUAUCUGAGAGUAACUGUUCAGGUAUUGACGGUAUUUAACCAGAAAGCCACGGCUAACUACGUGCCAGCAGCCGCGGUAAUACGUAGGUGGCAAGCGUUGUCCGGAUUUAUUGGGCGUAAAGCGAGCGCAGGCGGUUUUUUAAGUCUGAUGUGAAAGCCUUCGGCUCAACCGAAGAAGUGCAUCGGAAACUGGGAAACUUGAGUGCAGAAGAGGACAGUGGAACUCCAUGUGUAGCGGUGAAAUGCGUAGAUAUAUGGAAGAACACCAGUGGCGAAGGCGGCUGUCUGGUCUGUAACUGACGCUGAGGCUCGAAAGUAUGGGUAGCAAACAGGAUUAGAUACCCUGGUAGUCCAUACCGUAAACGAUGAAUGCUAAGUGUUGGAGGGUUUCCGCCCUUCAGUGCUGCAGCUAACGCAUUAAGCAUUCCGCCUGGGGAGUACGGCCGCAAGGCUGAAACUCAAAGGAAUUGACGGGGGCCCGCACAAGCGGUGGAGCAUGUGGUUUAAUUCGAAGCUACGCGAAGAACCUUACCAGGUCUUGACAUACUAUGCAAAUCUAAGAGAUUAGACGUUCCCUUCGGGGACAUGGAUACAGGUGGUGCAUGGUUGUCGUCAGCUCGUGUCGUGAGAUGUUGGGUUAAGUCCCGCAACGAGCGCAACCCUUAUUAUCAGUUGCCAGCAUUAAGUUGGGCACUCUGGUGAGACUGCCGGUGACAAACCGGAGGAAAGGUGGGGAUGACGUCAAAUCAUCAUGCCCCUUAUGACCUGGGCUACACACGUGCUACAAUGGAUGGUACAACGAGUUGCGAACUCGCGAGAGUAAGCUAAUCUCUUAAAGCCAUUCUCAGUUCGGAUUGUAGGCUGCAACUCGCCUACAUGAAGUCGGAAUCGCUAGUAAUCGCGGAUCAGCAUGCCGCGGUGAAUACGUUCCCGGGCCUUGUACACACCGCCCGUCACACCAUGAGAGUUUGUAACACCCAAAGUCGGUGGGGUAACCUUUUAGGAACCAGUCGCCUUAAGGUUA
rnacentral:rRNA from 1 species